GUAUCUUAUCAUAUAAUUGACUUGGAGUUUGCCUUGAAGACUUACUGCAAUCAUCCUGCAAUCAGUUCUUGUUCCUAAACACUGCUCUCAACCAAUUUCUAAAGCUAAAAACAAUGGCUGAUGCUCUCAUUUCCGUGCUGCUAGAACGGUUGGUCUCGAUAACCUAUGAAUACGUGGAAGGAGAGUUGAAACAUGUUUUGAACGUUAAGGAAGAUGUUAAGAAAUUCACUCGGACUCUCCGAGUAAUUCGAGCUGUGCUUGAGGAUGCAGAGCAACGCCAAGUGACGGAUCGAGCUGUCAAAAUCUGGUUGGAUGAGCUCAAAGAUAUAUCCUACCAGAUGGUGGAUGUGCUGGAUGAGUGGAACACAGACAUUCUCAAACAACAAGUUGAGAAGCAAGAAAGCGAAGGUGAUCCAAAUGCUUUUGUUACAAAGAAGGAGGUACGUUUCUCUAGUUUCUCCCGUUGCUUUUGUUUUGGCAACGUCAGUCGGGUGAUUUUUCACCGUGACAUUGCUCUGAAAAUAAAAGAUCUGAAUGAUAAGUUAACUAAGAUUAAUAAGGAAAGAGAAGAUUACCAGUUUCUAAGCAAAGAAUUAGGCAUUCAACAACCUCAACAACCACAACGACCUCAAACUGCAUCUUUUGUCGAUAUAUCUGAGAUAUUUGGUCGUGAAAAGGAACAGGUUGCUAAUAUGAUGAGAGCAACACCAAACAUGAUCAAUCUGGGAGGGUUGAGUGAUGAAUAUUGUCUGUCAAUCUUCAAUCACAUGGCCUUUUCGGAUAGGGAUGGACACGAGUCUAAGGUGUUUGGAGAUAUUAGUAAGGAAAUUGUAAAGAAGUGUAAAGGUUUGCCUCUUGCUGCAAAGACUUUAGGUAGUCUCAUGCAGAAUAAGAGAACGAAAAGAGAAUGGAAAGAAGUUUUGAAUAGUAAGAUAUGGGAUCUAGAGAAGGUCGAGCAAGAAGUUUUCCAACCCUUAUUACUAAGUUAUUAUGAUUUGUCCCCAACAAUUAAAUGUUGCCUUUUAUAUUGUGCUACUUUUCCUAAAGAUUACACGUUUGAACGAGAUCGUUUGAUUGAACUUUGGAUGGCACAAGACUAUGUUAUUUCGAAAUGGAAUAAACAAAAGGGAACAACGGGUGAUGUAGUUUUUGACAACUUAGUGGCACGGUCAUUUCUCCAAGAUUUUCAAAAAGAUCCAGACACUGGUACCAUUACAUGGUGCAAAAUGCAUGAUAUUGUGCAUGACUUUGUACAAUUUCUCACCAAGAAUGAGUGUUUGAUUAUGGAUCACUCAGAGUGUACUACUAGCAAAUCAAAGUUAUUGGGUGAUAAGAUUCGUCAUUUGACCUUGAGAUAUGUUCAUGAUGGUCUACUUCCAAUUUCUAUCUCAUCUACAAUUGCCAAAAGCUUCGCACGCUUGCAACUUUUGAUUCAAGAAUUACUAAAAUAGACUCAAAUUUAAUUUUACAAUUGAAAUGUCUUAGGACAUUAAAUUUGAGUGGUAAUUCCAUCAAAGAACUCCCAGAGGAGAUUGGUGAAUUGAAACAUUUGAGGCAUAUUGAUUUGUCUUACAAUAGUUAUUUGGAGAAAUUACCUGACAUGUCCGGUGCCGUUCCCCAAAGGGAUAGGGAGAUUAACAAGUUUACAAACACUAGAUUUGUGUCACUGUGAUGGCAACAACGAUGAAGCAUUCCAAAUUGGGGAUCUGAGAAACUUGAACCUUGAGGGACGUCUCAUAAUACGACUUGUGGGGGAUGCGACAGAUAAGAGCGAGGUUGAGAAAGCACAAUUGUGGGACAAAAAGCUAUUUCAUCUCACCGUUCAUUUUGAAAGGCAGACGAACAGUAGUAGUAGUAGUGUAGAAAUACUGAAUGCCUUGCGACCGCAUCCAGAUUUGGAAUCUUUAAACAUUUUGUAUCAUUAUGGCACCACGUGGGCCAAUUGGAUUCAGUCUUUAAAAAAUUUGAGAUUCCUUACUGUUGUUGCGGGGACACAGUGUGAACUUUGGCCUCUUGGGAAAUUGGAGUGCCUUGAAACACUGACCCUAGCCGAGAUGAAAGGAGUGAGAAAGGUCGGUGUUGAAUUUUUGGGAUUAGAAGAUCAAACCUCAUUCAGAAUCAGAUCACCACCCCUGAUAUUAUUCCCAAAAUUGAAACAACUCAACUUUCACCAAAUGUGGAAUUGGGAAGAGUGGGAAGGCGUGGAAGAGUGGACGAAAGAGGAUUCUGAAAUUACAAUCAUGCCAUGCCUUUCUAAGUUAGACAUGGAGUGGUGCCCUUUACUACAAGCACUGCCAGACUUCCUCUUCAGAACACCACUGCAGACUCUUCGCAUCGGUGGAUCUGAGAGACUUUUAGAGCGUUACCAAGAAGGCAAUGGAGAGUGGGCCAAGAUUUCUGCUACGAACCCAAACAUCCGCAUUAUCAGGGACUCUACUGUAGUCGGCCUACGGAAGUUCCAAAAAGUGAAAUUUUGAUUAUUUUCACCACUCGCUAGCUGCAGUGCUUUGACGUUUGUUUUGUUAAAUCUCUGGAUUUUAGAGCAUCAAGGGAACUUGUCCUGCUUUGUUUGACUGAUUUCGAUGAAGCUUUUACCUAAAAUGAGAUUUUCUUUUCGUAGUUACUGGAGCUCUUUUCGUGGCAUGGGAGGGAGGGAAGAGUGAAUAUGACCCCAAGUUUCAUUUUAAUUCACCUUCAAGUGUCAUCAAGUUGCUCAAAGGCUAUAUGAGGGACUCUAUGGAAGCAAACAGAGUGGCGUAAAGCAUCAAAGUCAGUCUACGGAAGUUCCAAUAACUGAAAUUUUGAUCAUUUUCGUCAAAAGUCAGCCUUGAGAAGUUGACAGAGACAUGAUGAAUUUCGAAGGUCUACUGAGCUUUUGAUUUACAAACAUUGAUGAGUACCCUUAUUUUUUGUUUUGUAAGCAGAAACUUCGUGAACACCUUAUUUUUAAGGGACAGGCAACAUCGACUGUAUAUAUAACUAAUCUACUGGUGUAUUGAUCAUUUGCAAAACUUCCUUUUUGUCAUUAAUUCGUAAGAUGUAUUCUUGAGGAACUGGUGAAUUUACUUUGGCUCUCUUAUUUUAUUGUGUAUCAGUUCCCAGUUUUUGCUGUUCCUCUAGAAGGUGUGUUUUGUUUGCCUUGGGUAACUUUGAUUUGGUGUGUGUCGUUAAUAUCGUUAACCUUGCCUUAAACAAGCAAUUCAUAAAAGAAGAGGUAACUUGUUUUCAACGUGAAGAAAGAAGUUGAACAAUAAGUUGGCAAUCUCAAAGCUAUUCAAGCUGCGCGCGCUUAAGGAUGCAGAGCAAAUUGUAUACAACUUAUUCACCUGCCCCUGAAUGCCACCUGCAGUUUGAACAGCAGCUCCUUCAAAUCAAGCUAUUUCGAGAUCUGACUUUAACGUAUCUUUUACAAGUGCAUUGUUCUUGAAGAUCUUGCAGGGGUGACCAACUAAGUUUGAGGUUUCUUCACUAUUCGUGAUGCGUGGUUGAACUCAAGCACAACUGCAGUUGCUGUGAUCCUAAACUG